GGGUCGAUGGCGUAGUUGGUUAUCGCAUCUGUCUAACGGUCCUCAGUUCGAACCUGGGUCGACUCA
rnacentral:tRNA from 1 species